rnacentral:rRNA from 1 species
AAUCAACGCUGGCGGCGUGCCUCAGACAUGCAAGUCGAACGCGAAAGUUCCCUUCGGGGAAUAAGUAGAGUGGCGCACGGGUGAGUAACACGUAGGUAAUCUACCUUAGGGUGGGGAAUAACCCAGGGAAACUUGGGCUAACACCGCAUGAUGCAGCGGCACCACAUGGUGACAGUUGUUAAAGCGGGGGAGUUUUCGGUACCUCGCGCCUGAAGAGGAGCCUGCGGCGGAUUAGCAGUUGGUGAGGUAACGGCUCACCAAGGUACACGAUCCGUAGCCGGCCUGAGAGGGCGGUCGGCCACACUGACACUGACAUACGGGUCAGACUCCUACGGGAGGCAGCAGUCGGG